rnacentral:lncRNA from 1 species
AACUGGUCGAAGUGCUGGGUUUCAAACGAUCGAUUGAGACGUACAUUGACGUAGGUAAUUUCGGAACGUGCUCCAUUGGUUCUGGUCGGAUCCGAUUGUUUAGCUGGACCUAAUCAUGCGCUGACUUAUCUAUCUAUACCCUACUAAUAUACCAACUUUUUUCUAUCUAUACCCUACUAAUAAUACACUAACUUUUUCAUUGCUUGGUCCACCCCAUAUAAACUCCCCCGCUGAGAAAACUCUCCUUUAUGCACCCC